GGCGGCAGGCCUAACACAUGCAAGUCGAACGGUAACAGGAAGAAGCUUGCUUCUUUGCUGACGAGUGGCGGACGGGUGAGUAAUGUCUGGGAAACUGCCUGAUGGAGGGGGAUAACUACUGGAAACGGUAGCUAAUACCGCAUAACGUCGCAAGACCAAAGAGGGGGACCUUCGGGCCUCUUGCCAUCGGAUGUGCCCAGAUGGGAUUAGCUAGUAGGUGGGGUAACGGCUCACCUAGGCGACGAUCCCUAGCUGGUCUGAGAGGAUGACCAGCCACACUGGAACUGAGACACGGUCCAGACUCCUACGGGAGGCAGCAGUGGGGAAUAUUGCACAAUGGGCGCAAGCCUGAUGCAGCCAUGCCGCGUG
rnacentral:rRNA from 1 species